UCUCACACAGUGUUGCUGGCUCACACAGGCCACAAUGUGUGCUUGGUAUAUUUUUAAGGGCGGGGGCAUCUUCCAACGCAUGGCAGAUCUGCCCCAGGUGAUCUCUCUCUUCCUAGAUGUGACACAGCU
rnacentral:snoRNA from 1 species